UGUCGUUUCGUUUCGUUUCGCUGGUUUCAUGACAUAAAAUUAAAAAUACCUGUCUUUUUAAUGAGGGUUGCGUAAGAAUAAGCUUCUGAACGUUUCUAUGAGUUUAAACGUGUCUUGGAUUCGCGGUUCCAAUGCUCUGACUCUGCUGAGAGAACGUCUAGCCCCUAAACUCGUGGAACACAAACAGAAGCUGACCAGAUCUUCAUGUGCUGUUUUCAUACCAGUGUGCCACAGGGAAGAUAAACUAAGUUUGCUUUACACCAAGCGAACCGAAACUCUUAACUCCCACACCGGUCAAAUCAGUUUUCCAGGAGGACGAUGUGACGAUGGAGAGACAGCACGUGAGACCAGUAUUAGGGAGAUGUAUGAAGAAAUAGGGACUCCUCUCCUCGCAAAUUUGGGGCAAUCUUUCUCGUCCUGUGGUCAGCCUCAAGAUGGAGAACGUAUAUGCUUGCCUCGGCUACAUCGGACAUUUUGAGGACUUGCAAAUCAAGCCAUGCCCCGACGAGGUAUCACACGUGUUCACAGUACCAAUAGAAGAGUUAGUACACCACGUGCCAGAGAAAA